UUCGCAAUGCCCGAAAGGGUGACGAAGCGACGCCGCGUGCGGGAAGAAGGCCUUCGGGUUGUAAACCGCUGUCGGGGGUUAGGAAAUGCAAGGAUGUUAAUAGCGUCUUUGCUUGACUAAGGCUCCGGAGGAAGCCACGGCUAACUCUGUGCCAGCAGCCGCGGUAAUACAGAGGCGGCAAGCGUUGUUCGGAAUUAUUGGGCGUAAAGAGCACGUAGGCGGCUGUGUAAGUCGGUUGUGAAAGCCUUCCGCUCAACGGGAGAACGGCAUCCGAUACUGCAUAGCUAGAGUGCGGGAGGGGAGAGUGGAACUUCUGGUGGAGCGGUGAAAUGCGUAGAUAUCAGAAGGAACGUCGGCGGCGAAAGCGACUCUCUGGCCUAUUACUGACACUGAGGUGCGAAAGUUAGGGGAGCAAACGGGAUUAGAUACCCCGGUAGUCCUAGCCGUAAACGAUGGGCACUAAGUAGAGGGGUUUU
rnacentral:rRNA from 1 species